GAUUGAUAUUUAUAGAGAAUGAAAGCCAUCUUAUACAAAGUUAUCCUAUUAUAUGGUUGCACUCCAAAAUGCAAACUCUGGCACUAUUAUUUCAUGAGAUUUCUUUCCAAUUAAAAAUUUUGAUGUGUGAAUUUUAAAUUAUAUUUUCUAGGCUUUCCAACUAUCCAUCCAGGAUUUUAGGCACUGUCGUCCUGUGAUC
rnacentral:lncRNA from 1 species